GCUGGGUGUGGUGGUGCACACCUGUAAUCCCAGCUACUUGGGAGGCUGAGGCAGGAGAAUUGCUUGAACCCGAGAGGUGGACGUUGCAGUGAGCCGAGAUCAUGCCACUGCACUCCAGCCUGGGUGACAGAGCAAGACUCUGUCUCAA
ensembl:misc_RNA Metazoa_SRP Metazoan signal recognition particle RNA